rnacentral:piRNA from 1 species
UAUGAUGUUAGCGUCAGAUACUUGAACGC